UGCCCAGCAACUCCUAUCCCUACCUCCUCGUGGUACUGGCCGGGGUACGAGUAACCUUGGGUCGUAUGCUGACAGGGAAGG
rfam:Aedes aegypti strain Liverpool supercont1.105 genomic scaffold, whole genome shotgun sequence.